AUGGAGGAGGAGAUCAAUGUCUUCUGCAGCAUGACUGAGGCGGUGAAGGAGGUGGCAACAACCAUCAGGGAGUGCAAGCCCCUCGACGUCCACCCUGACCUGUAUGGCGCUGUCAUGACCCAGGGUGGCUUUAGCGACGAGGCUCUCAUGGCAGCUCUCAGCCACCUGCUUGACAACAAGGCCCAGGGUGUUGGGUUCGUUGCCAUGGCCGACACUCACAGGGUGCUGUGGCUCAGGAGCUGGCUGGGCAAGCACUACUACUAG
rnacentral:rRNA from 1 species